rnacentral:misc_RNA from 1 species
GAUGAGGAACGCAGCGAAAUGCGAUAAGUAGUGUGAAUUGCAGAAUUCAGUGAAUCAUCGAAUCUUUGGACGCACAUUGCGCCCCUUGGUAUUCCAUGGGGCAUGCCUGUUCGAGCGUCAUCUACACCCUCAAGCACUGCUUGGUGAUGGGCGUCUGUCCCGCCUCCGCGCGCGGACUCGCCCCAAAGGCAUUGGCAGCGGUCCUGACCGCCUCUCGCGCAGCACAUUUGCGCUUUUCGAGGCAUCGGAGGCCUGCGUCCACGAAGCCCAUCUUUAUUUUUUUGACCUCGGAUCAGGUAGGGAUACCCGCUGAACUUAAGCAUAUCAAUAAGCGGAGGA